UUUUGUCUUCUUUGAACAGAUACAUCUGUCUGAAGAAAGCAGGAAUGUGUCCUGAAAGAGUUACCGUAUCUCCCAGAAUGGCCUCAGGAGAAUUCAAACAUACUGCAAUCACAGGUCUCCCCAUGAGGAACUGGCGGGUCUCAGGCUAUUGAAUGUGACGACACCACCUUCUAUCACAUGCACAUUCAGAAAGGAAGUGUUUCGAUCUGUGCCCAAAGGUUAAACUACAGCACUCAGCCAACAUGGAAACAAGGUAUGUGUGUGUCACAUACUAAUACAGCUCAUUACACCCUAAAAGCACAGUUGCAAAUGCCAUGGUUUAAACCAGUGUUCUUAUGACUUAAAAAAGCUUAAAAACGAUAUUUUGGUGUUUCUGCAUUGGUUUUUAAAAAUAGAGCUUAAAAUGGUCAUGUUCUGAUGCCAGAAUACUGUCAAACAGGCUCAAUACAUCCUAAAAGCAGAGUUGCAAUUGCUUGGUUUACACUAGUGUGUCUAAGGCCUGAAAAGCUCAAAAACAAUGUUUUAGUGUUUCUGCAUUGGUUUCCAUCAGAGCAGCCUCCAAUGGUCAUGUUUUGAUUCCUAAAUACUGUCAGACAGCUCAAUGCAUCCUAAAUGUACAGUUGCAUAUGGCUUAGUUUAAAGUAGUGUUCUUAUGAACUGAAAAGCUCAAAACGAUGUUUUAGUGUUUAUAAAUUGCUUUCUAACAUUACAGCUUAAGAUGGUCAUGUUCUGAUGCCAGGCAACUUUAAAACAGCUCAAUACACCAGAAAAGCACAGUUGCAUAUGCCGUGGUUUAAACUAGUGUUCUUAUGACCUGAAAAGCUCAAAAACAAUGUUUUAGUGUUUCUGCAUUGGUUUCCAUCAAAACAGCCUCUAAAGAUCAUGUUCUGGGGCCAGGCUACUUUAAAACAGCUCAAUGCAUCCUAAAUGUACAGUUGCAUAUGCCGUGGUUUAAACUAGUGUUCUUAUGACCUGAAAAGCUCAAAAACGAUGUUUUAGUAUUUCUGCAUUGGUUUCUAACAUUCUAGCUUAUAAUGAUCAUGUUAUGAUGGCAGAAUAAUUUAAAACAGCUCAGUACAACAAAAAACAUAAUUGUAAUUGACGUGGCCUAAACUAGUGUUCUUAUGGUCUGAAAAGCUCAAAAACAAUGUUUUAGUGUUUCUGCAUUGGUUUCCAUCAAAACAGCCUCUAAAGAUCAUGUUCUGGGGCCAGGCUACUUUAAAACAGCUCAAUGCAUCCUGAAUGUACAGUUGCAUAUGCCGUGGUUUAAACUAGUGUUCUUAUGGCCUGAAAAGCUCAAAAACGAUGUUUUAGUAUUUCUGCAUUGGUUUCUAACAUUACAGCUUAUAAUGAUCAUGUUAUGAUGGCAGGAUAAUUUAAAACAGCUCAGUACAACAAAAAACAUAAUUGUAAAUGACGUGGCCUAAAUUAGUGUCCUUAUGACCUGAAAAGCUCAAAAACAAUGUUUUAGUGUUUCUGCAUUUGUUUCCAUCAAAACAGCCUCUAAAGAUCAUGUUCUGGGGCCAGGCUACUUUAAAACAGCUCAA